GAAAGAAGGGGGCAACCCCUUCGAGUAGAGUGGCGAACGGGUGAGUAAUACAUCGGAACGUACCCAGUAGCGGGGGAUAACCUCUCGAAAGAGAGGCUAAUACCGCAUACGACCUACGGGUGAAAGAGGGGGAUCGCAAGACCUCUCACUAUUGGAGCGGCCGAUGUCGGAUUAGCUAGUUGGUGGGGUAAAAGCCUACCAAGGCGACGAUCCGUAGCUGGUCUGAGAGGACGGCCAGCCACACUGGAACUGAGACACGGUCCAGACUCCUACGGGAGGCAGCAGUGGGGAAUUUUGGACAAUGGGCGCAAGCCUGAUCCAGCCAUGCCGCGUGAGUGAAGAAGGCCUUCGGGUUGUAAAGCUCUUUCGGCGGGGACGAAAAGGUCCGUGUUAACACCACGGAUCCAUGACGGUACCCGCAGAAGAAGCACCGGCUAACUACGUGCCAGCAGCCGCGGUAAUACGUAGGGUGCAGGCGUUAAUCGGAAUUACUGGGCGUAAAGCGUGCGCAGGCGGUUUGUUAAGACAGAUGUGAAAUCCCCGGGCUUAACCUGGGAACUGCGUUUGUUACUGGCAAGCUUGAGUGUGGCAGAGGGGGGUGGAAUUCCACGUGUAGCAGUGAAAUGCGUAGAGAUGUGGAGGAACACCGAUGGCGAAGGCAGCCCCCUGGGCUAACACUGACGCUCAUGCACGAAAGCGUGGGGAGCAAACAGGAUUAGAUACCCUGGUAGUCCACGCCC
rnacentral:rRNA from 1 species